rnacentral:tmRNA from 1 species
GGGGGCGAAAGGCUUCGACCGGACGGGUAGAUAAGUAAACUGCAUAUCCAGGAUGUCGGUUGGCCUGGCUAAUCAUCCGGCACAAAUUUAAUUGGCAACUACCAAUUAAGAAUGGCUGCCUAAUUUAGGCGGUCCGUCCUGCGGAAUCGCUCCCGCCGGUUUCGCAAGGGCGCCAAAAUGCGGGACAGCUCUGCAAGGCGGUUCGUCCGAGCAGAGUUAAAAAACUACGAACUGGCCGAGACGUAAGCCUGUUAUUCGGCGGACGGCUCGGCGAGAACCAAACGAAUAACUAAAUAUGUAGAAGUUUACUUUGAAACGUUUCGGGACGCGGGUUCGAAUCCCGCCGCCUCCAAUU